GACGUAGGGGGCGAGCGUUGUCCGGAUUUAUUGGGCGUAAGAGCUCGUAGGCGGCUCAGAAAGUCGGGUGUGAAACCUCCAGGCUCAACUGGGAGGGUGCGCCGAAUACUGAAUGACUAGAGUGCGGGAGAGGCAAGUGGAAUUCCUGGUGUAGCGGUGAAAUGCGUAGAGUAUCAGGAGGAACACCGGUGGUGUAGACGGCUGCUGGACCGUAACUGACGCUGAGACACGAAAGCGUGGGUAGCAAACAGG
rnacentral:rRNA from 1 species